rnacentral:rRNA from 1 species
UAUUUGGUGGGGUAAGGCCUACCAAGGCGACGAUCGGUAGCUGGUCUGAGAGGAUGACCAGCCACACUGGAACUGAGACACGGUCCAGACUCCUACGGGAGGCAGCAGUGGGGAAUAUUGGACAAUGGGGGCAACCCUGAUCCAGCAAUGCCGCGUGUGUGAAGAAGGCCUGAGGGUUGUAAAGCACUUUCAGUGGGGAGGAGGAGUGAUUGUUUAAGAGAUGAUUACUUGGACGUUACCCACAGAAGAAACAGCGGCUAACUCCGUGCCAGCACCCGCGGUAUUACUGAGGGUGCAAGCGUUAAUCGGAAUUACUGGGGGUAUAGGGUGAGCACGUGGGUAUGU